GGAGAGGUGACCGAGUGGCCGAAGGUGCCUGAUUCGAAAUCAGGUGUGGAUUCACGUCCACCGCGGGUUCGAAUCCCGCUCUCUCCG
rnacentral:tRNA from 1 species